rnacentral:rRNA from 1 species
GAGUUUGAUUCAUGGCUCAGGACGAACGCUGGCGGCGUGCCUAAUACAUGCAAGUAGAACGCUGAAGAGAGGAGCUUGCUCUUCUUGGAUGAGUUGCGAACGGGCGAGUAACGCGUAGGUAACCUGCCUUGUAGCGGGGGAUAACUAUUGGAAACGAUAGCUAAUACCGCAUAACAAUAGGUGACACAUGUCAUUUAUUUGAAAGGGGCAAUUGCUCCACUACAAGAUGGACCUGCGUUGUAUUAGCUAGUAGGUGAGGUAACGGCUCACCUAGGCGACGAUACAUAGCCGACCUGAGAGGGUGAUCGGCCAUACUGGGACUGAGACACGGCCCAGACUCCUACGGGAGGCAGCAGUAGGGAAUCUUCGGCAAUGGGGGCAACCCUGACCGAGCAACGCCGCGUGAGUGAAGAAGGUUUUCGGAUCGUAAAGCUCUGUUGUAAGUCAAGAACGAGUGUGAGAGUGGAAAGUUCACACUGUGACGGUAGCUUACCAGAAAGGGACGGCUAACUACGUGCCAGCAGCCGCGGUAAUACGUAGGUCCCGAGCGUUGUCCGGAUUUAUUGGGCGUAAAGCGAGCGCAGGCGGUUUGAUAAGUCUGAAGUUAAAGGCUGUGGCUCAACCAUAGUUCGCUUUGGAAACUGUCAAACUUGAGUGCAGAAGGGGAGAGUGGAAUUCCAUGUGUAGCGGUGAAAUGCGUAGAUAUAUGGAGGAACACCGGUGGCGAAAGCGGCUCUCUGGUCUGUAACUGACGCUGAGGCUCGAAAGCGUGGGGAGCGAACAGGAUUAGAUACCCUGGUAGUCCACGCCGUAAACGAUGAGUGCUAGGUGUUGGAUCCUUUCCGGGAUUCAGUGCCGCAGCUAACGCAUUAAGCACUCCGCCUGGGGAGUACGACCGCAAGGUUGAAACUCAAAGGAAUUGACGGGGGCCCGCACAAGCGGUGGAGCAUGUGGUUUAAUUCGAAGCGACGCGAAGAACCUUACCAGGUCUUGACAUCCCGAUGCUAUUUCUAGAGAUAGAAAGUUACUUCGGUACAUCGGUGACAGGUGGUGCAUGGUUGUCGUCAGCUCGUGUCGUGAGAUGUUGGGUUAAGUCCCGCAACGAGCGCAACCCCUAUUGUUAGUUGCCAUCAUUCAGUUGGGCACUCUAGCGAGACUGCCGGUAAUAAACCGGAGGAAGGUGGGGAUGACGUCAAAUCAUCAUGCCCCUUAUGACCUGGGCUACACACGUGCUACAAUGGUUGGUACAACGAGUUGCGAGUCGGUGACGGCAAGCUAAUCUCUUAAAGCCAAUCUCAGUUCGGAUUGUAGGCUGCAACUCGCCUACAUGAAGUCGGAAUCGCUAGUAAUCGCGGAUCAGCACGCCGCGGUGAAUACGUUCCCGGGCCUUGUACACACCGCCCGUC